CAUUAUUCGCGAGCGCGGGUUUGAAAUGUCUUUCUCCGCCGCGCGUCCGCGGCAAUGGGCGGCGAUCCGAUCACUCCGAUGAUCCGAUCCUCUGGUGAAUCGUCGCGCCCGCGAGGGCGGGGCAGAUCUCUCUGAUGAUCGCUGGCGGAUUCGGUACCAGCAUUGGAUCAUCCGAGCAAGUGAAUCGACUGGACCUCCGGGAUGGGGUGUGAAGAAUAUUAUCUCUAGAAGCUGGAAACAUUUUGUGAGGAGAAAGCCUUUGCAGACGGCGGCAUUCCAACGCGAGGAUAUCAUUUUGGAAAUGCUACGGUUAUACAGGACGGAACGGGUAGUGGUUCAUUGGUGACGGGGAUGAUGAUGACGGAGCAGUUAUGUGGACACCGAGGACGGCAGCGACGUGCCAAAGCCCAAAGUCCAAAUCAUAGGUAACAGCGUGUGAACUCCUGGAUUUAAUUUCAGCUAUACACGUACUUUGCUUUAGACAGGCUCCAGACUUUACCUUGGUUGACCUCCAAUCCAAUUGAGCUAGAAUCACUUUAACAAAACGGUUGCAUACAUGCGAAAUUACUCUUGAGUUUUACCGUUCAAUAGGAGGUGAAUCCAUCAUCUCCCAAUUUUGUGCCAAUCACAAGACCUUCGUCAGCUCUUAAAAAAACAAGACCUUCAGUACAAUCUUUUAAGUGACCUGUAUAGGAAAAUGGAAGUUUACGAGUUAUGACAUCAGAAUUAUGCUAAAUUAAGUUUAGGCAAGGCUCCAAAAAAACUUUGUGACAAUAAGAUGGACCUGCACUGAUGGUGUAGUAUGUAUCGCAAUCUAACUUUCACAUGGCACUAACAUAUGACCUGCACCUGGCCAGUGGCUAGCAUGGUCUGAAGUGAUGGCAACUCGCUUUUUUUCAGCAAAGGAAAUCACGGGUGACGAUGAGAUCCUAGUACAGUGAACAUUAGGUCCAGAAGAGGAUAGCGUCAAUCAUUUAUCAGCCAUACCGCACUUAAUCGCGAUGGAUAACCUAUCUCCUUGGAAUUGCCCUCGUUUCUCGCCUGCCAAAUACUACAAAUACUGAACUCCGGCCGGCCUUAUUGCUCCCUAUCCUAAUAAAAUAGAAACAAAAUCAAAAGGGAGAAGGAAAUCGUCAGGAAAUUGGGGGCCGACGGCGACAGGAAUUCAGGAACAGGGGAGCGCGAUGCAUGCAUCCGCCGUUUCCGGCCGUCCAGCUCAGCCGUGUCGAGACACCAGUAGGAUGUGGGACAAACACCCAAGAGUGCACGCGAGCACAAGCUUUCCUGCUGCCUUUUGAGCUGCUGGGAAUCACCAGCGACAAAGACAGAAUUAUAUAGCAUAAUAGUCAUUAGUCAAGGCCCCGCGCCUCGUGGCCUGGUCAAACUAAUGAGGAUAAUCGUAGUAGCUGUUGACACCCCGGCCCAACCUUUGAAUACUAACUUGAACGGUUCGUCGUCA